AGAGUUUGAUCCUGGCUCAGGACGAACGCUGGCGGCGCGCCUAACACAUGCAAGUCGAACGGAGUUAAGAGGAGCUUGCUUUUCUUGACUUAGUGGCGAACGGGUGAGUAACGCGUGAGUAACCUGCCUCAGAGUGGGGGACAACAGUUGGAAACGACUGCUAAUACCGCAUAAGACCACGGGGUCGCAUGGCCCUGAGGUAAAAGGAUUUAUUCGCUUUGAGAUGGACUCGCGUCCAAUUAGCUAGUUGGUGAGGUAACGGCCCACCAAGGCGACGAUUGGUAGCCGGACUGAGAGGUUGAACGGCCACAUUGGGACUGAGACACGGCCCAGACUCCUACGGGAGGCAGCAGUGGGGGAUAUUGCACAAUGGGGGAAACCCUGAUGCAGCGACGCCGCGUGGAGGAAGAAGGUUUUCGGAUUGUAAACUCCUGUCGUAAGGGACGAUAAUGACGGUACCUUACAAGAAAGCCACGGCUAACUACGUGCCAGCAGCCGCGGUAAAACGUAGGUGGCAAGCGUUGUCCGGAAUUACUGGGUGUAAAGGGAGCGCAGGCGGACCGGCAAGUUGGAAGUGAAAACUAUGGGCUCAACCCAUAAACUGCUUUCAAAACUGCUGGCCUUGAGUAGUGCAGAGGUAGGCGGAAUUCCCGGUGUAGCGGUGGAAUGCGUAGAUAUCGGGAGGAACACCAGUGGCGAAGGCGGCCUACUGGGCACCAACUGACGCUGAGGCUCGAAAGUGUGGGUAGCAAACAGGAUUAGAUACCCUGGUAGUCCACACCGUAAACGAUGAUUACUAGGUGUUGGAGGAUUGACCCCUUCAGUGCCGCAGUUAACACAAUAAGUAAUCCACCUGGGGAGUA
rnacentral:rRNA from 1 species